AAAGGCUGGUUCUGUGGAAAAGGCCCACUGACAGCAUUCAGAGCAGCAGAGCACCAUCAAUCAGGUCUAUGUAUGAGCAGAAAUGGACGGUGUUUGAAAGCAGGACAUACAGGAGCGAGAUAGA